GUCCCUCGGGAGGUCAUCGCCUGAGGAAGCUCUCCGGGCCCCUCUGGAGGCCUAGGGAGGACGGUGUCUUCACACCCUCUCUGUGAGAGCUCGCACCACAUCACAGCAGCCCAGAGGACUGAACUUUCAGACCAGGCUGACUGAAAUUACAAGCAUAUGCUGUGGUUACCCAGCGUGGGUCCCCUCCUCUCUUGACUUUCUUCAAAUUUUCGACCGUGGUUUUGAUGAUAUUGAUUCCAACACAAGAGGGGGUGUUGCAAGGAAUGGCAUCUUUGGAGAGCCAGAAUUUAGCCCAACAUGAGAGAAUUAGCCUUUGGACCUGCAAUAUUCCAGUCUCCUCAGUACUGAAAUUCUAAUCAGUCUCUCUAGACACAGAACCCUUUUAGUUUUCCUGCACCACCAGAUGUGGCUUCUUUUUAAAAUUUCUCCUUCAC